UACGGGGGGGGGCAAGCGUUGUUCGGAAUUACUGGGCGUAAAGGGCUCGUAGGCGGCCAACUAAGUCAGACGUGAAAUCCCCAGGCUCAACCUGGGAACUGCGUCUGAUACUGGAUGGCUUGAAUCCGGGAGAGGGAUGCAGAAUUCCAGGUGUAGCGGUGAAAUGCGUAGAUAUCUGGAGGAAUACCGGUGGCGAAGGCGGCAUCCUGGACCGGCAUUGACGCUGAGGAGCGAAAGCUAGGGGAGCAAACGGGG
rnacentral:rRNA from 1 species